UGCUUGGUUUGGUUAUUUGGAAUUGUUGGUUGAUCCUACUGUUUUCUGUUGUUUUCUUUUUCCCCUCUUUUCUUUCUGGUUUUAGCAAAUUUGAACUCAGGCUGCUAGUUUUUAUGAUGUGUAUCGGUUGAAGUUUCAAGUUAUUUAUUCUGUUUGGAAAUAAAAAAAAGAUCUAGAGAGACAAAUGUAGUUUAUUAAAGUCAAUAGAGUUAAUUAUUUUAAAACUAGUACAUGUUUGAAUUCAAUAUUAUUACAUGCUUCUUGUUUUUUCUAGUUUUAAGUAGCAUAUGAGAUUUUGUCAAUGUUUGGGUAUAAUAAUCUAGUUUUUAAUGAGAUUUUGUGAAUGAAGGAUUCUGAGUACCCUUUCAUUUUUUGGACUUCCCCAUUGUAGUUCUCACUCACCUUAGUUUCUCCAUUCCCACCAUUUGAUUGAAGAUUUUUUUUGUUAUUACUCCUUAUAGGUUUCUUAGGAAGAGUUCGAUAUAUAUGUGACUGGCUCAUGGAAUUAUGGUAUUUGGUGCCAUACUGCAUUGGGAUAUGAAUCUUCUUGCAAUCAAAUAACUGCAGAAGAACUGCGGUCUUCCAAAAUAUGGACAGCUUUGUCAUACACAUGGGAUAAUGUUGGGCACUUCAUUCAAGUAAGACGCUAUAGACCUACAUUGUCGCAAACCAACAAUGAAUGGUAUGUCAAUACAUGUAUGGCUUGCACAUGAACCCUUCAAUCGCUGUAGCACUUUUUUUGUUCCUGAACCUGAGUAGUUGCUGUAAUCUUCCUAUUCGUUUUAAUAAUUUGAGAGAAUUGGUACAUGAUUAUUCAUAGUUCAUCUUUAUUGGCGAUGAUUGCAUAAUACAAACUGUUUAACUCUAAGGAUUACAAA